CCCCAACUUCUGAAUGUUGACCUCGGAUCAGGUAGGAAUACCCGCUGAACUUAAGCAUAUCAGAGGCGGGAAAGGAAAA
rnacentral:rRNA from 1 species